rnacentral:tRNA from 1 species
AGCGGGGUGGAGAAGCGGUUAUCUCACUUGUCUCAUACGCAGGUAGUCGUGGGUUCAAAUCCCACCCCCGCUA